rnacentral:rRNA from 1 species
GGAAAUCUGACAGCUCAACUGUUAGGCUUUCGGGGGAUACUGCCUGGCUCGAGGCCGGGAGAGGUAAGAGGUACUACAGGGGUAGGAGUGAAAUCUUGUAAUCCCUGAGGGACCACCUGUGGCGAAGGCGUCUUACCAGAACGGGUUCGACGGUGAGGGACGAAAGCUGGGGGCACGAACCGGAUUAGAUACCCGGGUAGUCCCAGCCGUAAACGAUGCUCGCUAGGUGUCAGGCAUGGUGCGACCGUGUCUGGUGCCGCAGGGAAGCCGUGAAGCGAGCCACCUGGGAAGUACGGCCGCAAGGCUGAAACUUAAAGGAAUUGGCGGGGGAGCACAACAACGGGUGGAGCCUGCGGUUUAAUUGGACUCAACGCCGGACAACUCACCGGGGGCGACAGCAAUAUGUAGGCCAGGCUGAAGACUUUGCCUGAAUCGCUGAGAGGAGGUGCAUGGCCGUCGCCAGUUCGUAUG